UUAGAGUUUGAUCCUGGCUCAGGACGAACGCUGGCGGCGUGCCUAAUACAUGCAAGUCGAGCGGACAGAAGGGAGCUUGCUCCCUGAUGUUAGCGGCGGACGGGUGAGUAACACGUGGGUAACCUGCCUGUAAGACUGGGAUAACUCCGGGAAACCGGAGCUAAUACCGGAUAGUUCCUUGAACCGCAUGGUUCAAGGAUGAAAGACGGUUUCGGCUGUCACUUACAGAUGGACCCGCGGCGCAUUAGCUAGUUGGUGGGGUAAUGGCUCACCAAGGSGACGAUGCGUAGCCGACCUGAGAGGGUGAUCGGCCACACUGGGACUGAGACACGGCCCAGACUCCUACGGGAGGCAGCAGUAGGGAAUCUUCCGCAAUGGACGAAAGUCUGACGGAGCAACGCCGCGUGAGUGAUGAAGGUUUUCGGAUCGUAAAGCUCUGUUGUUAGGGAAGAACAAGUGCGAGAGUAACUGCUCGUACCUUGACGGUACCUAACCAGAAAGCCACGGCUAACUACGUGCCAGCAGCCGCGGUAAUAC
rnacentral:rRNA from 1 species